GCCGCUUCCCGCCGCCCUUCGCCUCCAGUUCAGGCUCUAGUUUUGCUCGGUGGCCGUGGGAGCGCGCAAGCGCGGCGGGCGACUCGCGGAUCUCAGAGUAGCGGAGCGUGGCGCGCGGGAAUCAUCAUCCGGGGACCUACCAGAGACCACGAGAAAAAUGGGGAGGGGUAAGUUUCUCUUUGCUUUUAAAUAAUUUACUCUGUCUCCAUGUUAAUCUCUUAAAAUGUUAAUCUCUUUAAAUUUAAAUUUAAAUGUUAAUCUCUUUAAAUUUUGUGCUGUAAGCACCUUACUUGCCAUACCCUAGUCCAGGCUCUGGGAGGCAGCCCAAAUGGCCCAAGAAGAUAUAUUGGAAAUAUCUUCCUGAGGCUUUUUGUUGUUAUUGUUAUCUACCA
rnacentral:lncRNA from 1 species